GGAGGGAUGGGAGAGUGGUUUAAUCCAGCGGUCUUGAAAACCGCCGUACCGCAAGGUACCGUGAGUUCGAAUCUCACUCCCUCUG
rnacentral:tRNA from 1 species